rnacentral:rRNA from 1 species
UACGUAGGGGGCGAGCGUUGUCCGAAGUUACUGGGCGUAAAGCGCGCGUAGGCGGCUCCUUAAGUGACUGGUGAAAUCCUCGGGCUCAACUCGGGGCGGUCUGGUCAUACUGGGGAGCUAGAGUGUGGGAGAGGAGAGUGGAACUCCUGGUGUAGCGGUGAUAUGCGUAGAGAUCAGGAAGAACACCCGUGGCGAAGGCGGCUCUCUGGACCACAACUGACGCUGAGGUGCGAAAGCCAGGGGAGCGAACGGG